GUGGGGUAUUCACCUACCUGCUGCAUGAAGGCAGCAUGGAGGGACUGUGGUGGAUUAUCUGCAAAGAUGGCCCAAAUUCUCUCAUCCCUGCAGGUACAUACAAGAUGCCAGAAUCAGUCAAAACUAAGCUCACUGUCCUUGCUAAUAUUCUGCCCCAGAGGAGAACUGAAGCUCAGCUAUUCACCCUACAGAAAGCCUGAAUUUUGUAAAUGUUCUGCUUAGAAUGAGGAAGAAAGAUGAAGAAUGAGGAGGAAGAAGGGAGGAACAAGAGAGAGAGCCAGGUUUCCAGAAGUUCCCUAGUCAUUGGGCAUUUCUGAGACUCUUGAUGCAUAUGCCAAGUAGUUAUGGAGAAAGACAUAGCCGCUUACCUCUGCAGGCAUCAUUGUGUGAAAGGAAGACCGAGGCUGUCUCACCACCCUUGAAGAGAAGCCUUUUGCUAAGGUGAUAGCUGCAUGUCCAAGCCUAUUGCGUGGCAUGGAUUUUGCCUUCUACAGCCCACUAAAGGAGUUUGCAGUUCACCCGCAAACCUCAGCGAUCCAAGCUCCCCUGGAUGACCAUCACUCACCUAGAAAAGAACAAUAACAGGACCUGUUUUGCUAAUCCAGGACUGUUCUCCAGCACUAACUCUAAAUAAUCCCUUCUGUUAGAGUCCACUUUCUGGAACCUGUUGCCUCCGUUUUCAACGUUUCCCAAACUUGGUCCGUUGUGUGAGUUGGCUGUUAAAAGUUCCAGGGAGAGGACAUCUUAUUCUUAUUGGAUCACGCACAGUGCCUGAAGCAUUCUGUUGCAUGUAGAAAUCAGUAAAUUGCAGAUGUAA
rnacentral:lncRNA from 1 species